GAACGCUGGCGGCGUGCUUAACACAUGCAAGUCGAACGGGUCUUAUAUUAGAUAAAGAGGUUUACUUCUUCUAUCAGAUAUAAGACUAGUGGCGGACGGGUGAGUAACGCGUGGAUAACCUACCUUAUACAGGGGGAUAACAACGAGAAAUCGUUGCUAAUACCCCAUACGUAUAGGCAUUGCAUGAUGCUAAUAUAAAAGCUUUAGCGGUAUAAGAUGGGUCCGCGUCUGAUUAGCUAGUUGGUGGGAUAAAAGCCUACCAAGGCAACGAUCAGUAGCCGGCUUGAGAGAGUGAACGGCCACAUUGGGACUGAGACACGGCCCAAACUCCUACGGGAGGCAGCAGUGGGGAAUAUUGCACAAUGGGGGAAACCCUGAUGCAGCGACGCCGCGUGAAGGACGAAGGUUUUCGGAUCGUAAACUUCUAUCAGCAGGGAGGAAGAAAUGACAGUACCUGAAUAAGCAGCCCCGGCUAACUACGUGCCAGCAGCCGCGGUAAUACGUAGGGGGCAAGCGUUAUCCGGAAUUACUGGGUGUAAAGGGUGCGUAGGCGGUAAUGCAAGUCAGAUGUGAAACCCCUUGGCUCAACCAAGGGCUUGCAUUUGAAACUGUGUUACUAGAGUGCAGGAGAGGAAAGCGGAAUUCCUAGUGUAGCGGUGAAAUGCGUAGAUAUUAGGAAGAACACCAGUGGCGAAGGCGGCUUUCUGGACUGUAACAGACGCUGAGGCACGAAAGCGUGGGUAGCGAACAGGAUUAGAUACCCUGGUAGUCCACGCCGUAAACGAUGAGUGCUAGGUGUUGGGGUCGAUAGACCUCGGUGCUGAAGUUAACGCAUUAAGCACUCCACCUGGGGAGUUACGAUUCGCAGGAUUGAACUCAAAGGAAUUGACGGGGACCCGCACAAGCGGUGGAGCAUGUGGUUUAAUUCGAAGCAACGCGAAAGAACCUUACCAAGGCUUGACAUCCUCUUGGCUAGUUCUUAAUCGAAUUAUUCUUUCGGGACAAGAGAGACAGGUGGUGCCAUGGUUGUCGUCAGCUCGUGUCGUGAGAUGUUGGGUUAAGUCCCGCAACGAGCGCAACCCCUAUCUUUAGUAACCAGCGAGUAAAGUCGGGGACUCUAGAGAGACUGCCGGGGUUAACCCGGAGGAAGGUGGGGAUGACGUCAAAUCAUCAUGCCCCUUAUGUCUUGGGCUACACACGUGCUACAAUGGCUGCGACAGAGGGAAGCGAAGGGGUGACCUGGAGCGAAACCCAAAAAAGCAGUCCCAGUUCGGAUUGUAGUCUGCAACUCGACUACAUGAAGUCGGAAUCGCUAGUAAUCGCGAAUCAGCAUGUCGCGGUGAAUACGUUCCCGGGUCUUGUACACACCGCCCGUCACACCAUGGGAGUUGGAAGCACCCGAAGCCGGUGACCGAACCUGAGUGUUCAUCAAGCAGAUCAAAUAUAACAAUCUGACAGAUAUUUUUGCAAAUAACUUCGUUAGUGAAGUGCACUCAUACCUUCGAGGUAUUAGCACCCAUCACUGUCUUGUUCUUUACAAAAAUCUCAAGUCAGCUUGUCAUUUAUGAUCUACUUGAUGAGCACUUAGGACGGAGCCGUCGAAGGUGAAGCCAAUGACUGGGGUGAAGUCGUAACA
rnacentral:rRNA from 1 species